rnacentral:rRNA from 1 species
GUAACGAGCGCAACCCUUGUCCUUAGUUACCAGCACGUUAUGGUGGGCACUCUAAGGAGGACUGCCGGUGACAAACCGGAGGAAGGUGGGGAUGACGUCAAGUCAUCAUGGCCCUUACGGCCUGGGCUACACACGUGCUACAAUGGUCGGUACAAAGGGUUGCCAAGCCGCGAGGUGGAGCUAAUCCCAUAAAACCGAUCGUAGUCCGGAUCGCAGUCUGCAACUCGACUGCGUGAAGUCGGAAUCGCUAGUAAUCGUGAAUCAGAAUGUCACGGUGAAUACGUUCCCGGGCCUU